rnacentral:tRNA from 1 species
CCUUUUAAGGGAGACCUACUUGAAGAAAAACAAAUUUAGUUAAAUUCUUUCAAGCAAUCCCAAAGGUCGAACUUGUAUAGGAAAAAAGGCUUUCAAACUUACAUAAGGUUCGUUAAGGUUCGUUUACAUGGGCUAUUAGCUCAGGUGGUUAGAGCGCACCCCUGAUAAGGGUGAGGUCCCUGGUUCGAGUCCAGGAUGGCCCACAUGAACCAAAAAGCACCUUGAAAACUGCAUAAAACUAGAAGAAAUAGAGAUAAAAUCUGUCAAACAGGAGGACACGGGUGCUGAGGUUGCCUCAGCACCGUAAGAUGUCCGUGUUGAAGUAGACACAGACAUUCUCAGAAAAAAAAUUGGUCAAGCUAGAAAGGGCUAACGGUGGAUACCUAGGCACACAGAGGCGAGG